GAUUAGCCAUGCAUGUCUAAGUACAUGCCGUAUUAAGGCGAAACCGCGAAUGGCUCAUUAAAUCAGUCAUGGUUCCUUGGAUCGUACCUUACUACUUGGAUAACUGUGGCAAUUCUAGAGCUAAUACAUGCAGCAGAGCUCCGACCUUCGGGGACGAGCGCUUUUAUUAGACCAAAACCAAUCGGACCUCGUGUCCGUCCUUUGUGGUGACUCUGUAUAACUUUGGGCUGAUCGCACGGGCCUGUCCCGGCGACGUAUCUUUCAAGUGUCUGCCUUAUCAACUUUCGAUGGUAGGUUACGCGCCUACCAUGGUCGUAACGGGUAACGGGGAAUCAGGGUUCGAUUCCGGAGAGGGAGCCUGAGAAACGGCUACCACAUCCAAGGAAGGCAGCAGGCGCGCAAAUUACCCACUCCCAGAACGGGGAGGUAGUGACGAAAAAUAACAAUACGGGACUCUUUUGAGACCCCGUAAUUGGAAUGAGUACACUCUAAAUCCUUUAACGAGGAUCCAUUGGAGGGUAAGUCUGGUGCCAGCAACCGCGGUAAUUCCAGCUCCAAUAGCGUAUAUUAAAGUUGUUGCGGUUAAAAAGCUCGUAGUUGGAUCUCAGUUCCAGACGGGUGGUCCGCCUACCGGUGGUUACUGCCUGUUCUGAACAGUCAGCCGGUUUCUCUUGAUGAUCUUCACCGGUUGUCUUGGGUGACCGGCAAGUUUACUUUGAAAAAAUUAGAGUGCUCAAAGCAGGCGUGACGCCUGAAUAAUGGUGCAUGGAAUAAUGGAAUAGGACCUCGGUUCUAUUUUGUUGGUUUUCGGAACACGAGGUAAUGAUUAAGAGGGACAGACGGGGGCAUUCGUAUUGCGACGCUAGAGGUGAAAUUCUUGGACCGUCGCAAGACGAACUACUGCGAAAGCAUUUGCCAAGAAUGUUUCCAUUAAUCAAGAACGAAAGUUAGAGGUUCGAAGGCGAUCAGAUACCGCCCUAGUUCUAACCAU
rnacentral:rRNA from 4 species